rfam:Hydrogenophaga sp. H7 H7_scaffold1, whole genome shotgun sequence.
CCAGCCUGGCCAGCCAGCAGGCCUGGGCCCUGCACCAGUGCCUGACACGGCUGGAGAACAG